UACGGAGGUGCGAGCGUUGUCCGGAAUCACUGGGCGUAAAGGCGCGUAGGUGGCGGUCCAAGUCAACGGUGAAAGCUCGGGGCUCAACCCCGAGUCGGCCGUCGAUACUGGGUUGCUUGAGCACUGUAGAGGCAGAUGGAAUUCCGGGUGUAGCGGUGGAAUGCGUAGAGAUCCGGAAGAACACCGGUGGCGAAGGCGGUCGCUGGGCAGAGCUGACACUGAGGCGCGACAGCGUGGGGAGCAACA
rnacentral:rRNA from 1 species